UUCAGACCUGUGCUCUGCCGAUAUAAAGGAUGUAUCUGAGUAUUAGACGAUGUUCUCUGGGUGUUUAAAACCCGAGUGACCCCUCCCCCCGCCCCGGGGUCCCCGAAUCUGAACGUCACUUGUGGCCAGGAUUCAAGUUCUUUCCGGUGGAGCUCUAGGGCCUUAAGGAAAUCAGGGGGUGCAGCUGGGGACGUGUUCUGUGACCCCAACAUUCUGUGACAAGCCCGCAGUGGAUGCGUAAGCCGGUGGGGGCGGGGGUGGGGUGGGGUGAGGGGGUGCGGCUGGCACCUACCUCAUGGCACCUCACCUAUGAGUCACAGGACCAGGAGCCUGCGCUGAUUCCCCCAAGGACUGGAAGUCCUGUGAUCUCUGGUUUUAGAAAAGGGUAGGGCGGGGCCGGAAAGCCAGGAUGGAUGAUGUUGUUUUUUUUUCAUUUUAGAUCUCUGUCACCUCAGUCACUUUUGUCAUUAAAGCAUUGGUUGUAUUCCUUAAAGCAUUUGAGCAUGGAGGCCGCGUCACCUGGAAGAGUGGGGGGACCCCUGGAAGGGGGGAUUGCCACGAGCCACAGGAGGGGAUAACCCCGCAGCCCGUGGAUGGCCAGCAGGAAACGGCACGCCUGCCAGAACACAUUUCAGCUUUGCCUUUCACUGUGCUAAUUCCCUGAAUGGCAAUAACAAGCGGGGGGAGGGGGAGGGGGGGAGGCUGGGGGGGGGGCGUGGUGCGGGAAACACAUGGGAACUGAAAGAAAAGAGAUCUGAGAAACGAAAUCCGCAGGGGAAAGGAGUUGCUGGUGUUUUAGGGCCACAGCCAGCAGAUGCGGGCAGGGAAGCGGAGGGAGGGGAAAGGCCGGGCUUCUGGAACCUGCUGCUGGGCUUUAGACAAAGGCGGUUUGAGAAGCCGAGACCUCGAGGCGGGACCGGUUGCUGGUUGCUCGUAUCAGCACGGGGGCCGGAGCCAGCAGCGGGACUCCCGGGCCUGAAAGGGGAUCGAUUCCCAGCGCGUCCUUCAGGCCAGGAGUUCCCGGAGGAUGUGUCAGAACAAGAACGCAGAGGGAGAAGUAAGCUUGGGGGAGGCCUGGCAGAUUUUGCCCGUCGUGGACAACCUGCUCCUCCGGGAGGCAUGCUGCCUUCAUCCAUGCGUUACCUCUUCGUAGUUUCUGUUUCCUGCGUCGUCCUUCUUAUCGUGCUCUACGUGUUUGGGUUCCGGGGAGCGCCGGGCUUCCAGAGGCUAAAUAAUUCAGACACUUGGAUGCUGACUCAGGUUUGCACAUCCUUUA